AAUCCAUUUGACAACUUUAUCAUCCUUUUAGCGCAAUUCCCUUUCCCCCUAAAUUCUCCACUAAAAUGGGUGGUUCUUGGUUUCUUAGAUGGGUUUUGCUUCUAGGCCUAUUGGGAACUUGUGUUUACGGUCUGGGGAUUAAUUGGGGAACCCAGGCUACUCACAAAUUACCACCAAAGACAGUGGUGCAAAUGUUAAAGGACAAUGGGAUCCAAAAAGUGAAGCUUUUUGAUGCAGACCGAAACACCAUGAGUGCACUUGCUGGAAGUGGUAUUGAAGUCAUGGUGGCUAUACCCAAUGACCAACUGGCUGCCAUGAAUGAUUACAAUCGUGCCAAGGAUUGGGUCAAGAGGAAUGUCUCAAUCUACAACUUCAAUGGAGGGGUUAACAUCAAGUAUGUUGCAGUUGGUAAUGAGCCUUUCCUCACAUCCUACAAUGGGUCAUUCAUAAACUUGACCUUCCCAGCACUUCAAAACAUUCAAAAUGCCCUCAAUGAAGCUGGGUUGGGAGACUCUAUAAAGGCCACUGUACCCCUGAAUGCUGAUGUCUACAACUCACCCGAUGACCAGCCUUAUCCAUCCGCUGGAAGAUUCCGCAGUGAUAUCAGUGACCUCAUGAGCCAGAUCAUUCAGCUUCUGAAUAAGAAUAAUGCACCUUUCACAGUGAACAUUUACCCUUUCCUAAGUCUCUAUGGAAAUGAUAACUUCCCUAUUAACUACGCUUUCUUUGAUGGAGCAUCACAACCCAUUGUAGACAAAAGCACUGGGAUUCAGUACACCAAUGUUUUUGAUGCUAACUUCGACACCUUGGUCACAGCCCUCAAAACAGUAGGAUUUGGAGAGAUGACCAUCAUAGUUGGGGAGGUAGGUUGGCCCACUGAUGGGGACAAGAGUGCAACUAUAAACUAUGCUUACAGAUUUUACAAUGGGCUGUUACAGCGACUUGCAAGCAGUAGAGGCACCCCGCUUCGACCUGGAUACAUAGAAGUUUACUUGUUUGGUCUUCUUGAUGAAGAUGCAAAAAGCAUAGCUCCUGGAAAUUUUGAGCGCCAUUGGGGAAUCUUUCGGUACGAUGGCCAGCCUAAAUUUGCAUUAGAUUUUACUGGUCAGGGUCAGAACAAGUUUCCUGUGAGUGCACAGAAUGUGCAAUAUCAACCAUCAAAAUGGUGUAUGUUUAA
rnacentral:misc_RNA from 1 species